CACUCCUGCGGGAGGCAGCAGUGGGGAAUAUUGGACAAUGGGCGCAAGCCUGAUCCAGCCAUGCCGCGUGAGUGAUGAAGGCCCUAGGGUUGUAAAGCUCUUUCACCGGAGAAGAUAAUGACGGUAUCCGGAGAAGAAGCCCCGGCUAACUUCGUGCCAGCAGCCGCGGUAAUACGAAGGGGGCUAGCGUUGUUCGGAAUUACUGGGCGUAAAGCGCACGUAGGCGGAUCGAUCAGUCAGGGGUGAAAUCCCAGGGCUCAACCCUGGAACUGCCUUUGAUACUGUCGAUCUGGAGUAUGGAAGAGGUGAGUGGAAUUCCGAGUGUAGAGGUGAAAUUCGUAGAUAUUCGGAGGAACACCAGUGGCGAAGGCGGCUCACUGGUCCAUUACUGACGCUGAGGUGCGAAAGCGUGGGGAGCAAACAGGAUUAGAAACCCGAGUAGUCCCAUGAU
rnacentral:rRNA from 1 species